AGCAGCCGCGGUAAUUCCAGCUCCAAUAGCGUAUAUUAAAGUUGUUGCAGUUAAAAAGCUCGUAGUUGAAUUUCGGGGUCAGUAGGUCGGUCGUGCCACUGGUAUGAACUGGUUUUACUGAUUCCUCCCUCUUGAAGAACUGUAAUGCCAUUAAUUUGGUGUUGCAGGGAAUCAGGACUGUUACUUUGAAAAAUUAGAGUGUUUAAAGCAGGCUUUAGCUUGAAUACAUUAGCAUGGAAUAAUGAAAUAGGACGUUUGAUCCUAUUUUGUUGGUUUCUAGGAUUGACGUAAUGAUUAAUAGGGAUAGUUGGGGGCAUUAGUAUUCAAUUGUCAGAGGUGAAAUUCUUGGAUUUAUUGAAGACUAACUACUGCGAAAGCAUUUGCCAAGGAUGUUUUCAUUAAUCAAGAACGAAAGUUAGGGGAUCGAAGACGAUCAGAUACCGUCGUAGUCUUAACCAUAAACUAUGCCGACUAGGGAUCGGAUGAUGUUAAUUUUUAAUGACUCAUUCGGCGCCUUACG
rnacentral:rRNA from 1 species